GCAAACUUGGUCAUUUAGAGGAAGUAAAAGUCGUAACAAGGUCUCCGUUGGUGAACCAGCGGAGGGAUCAUUACAGAGUUUAUUACAACUCCUAAACCCAUGUGAACUUACCUUCUGUUGCCUCGGCAGGCAGGUCGCAUCUAUUACCCUGUAGUACCCUACCCUGGGAGCUCUUACCCAGUAAGAGCAUACCCUGGAUAGACCUACCCGGUACAAGAUUGCGCGCCAGCUUGCCGGUGGACCAUGAAACAAACUCUGUUUUAAUAACUGAUAUUCUGAUUAUUAUAUGGAAAUAAGUUAAAACUUUCAACAACGGAUCUCUUGGUUCUGGCAUCGAUGAAGAACGCAGC
rnacentral:misc_RNA from 1 species